rnacentral:rRNA from 1 species
AUGAACGCUGGCGGCGUGCCUCAUACAUGCAAGUCGAGCGAACAGACGAGGAGCUUGCUCCUCUGACGUUAGCGGCUGACGGGUGAGUAACACGUGGAUAACCUACCUAUAAGACUGGGAUAACUUCGGGAAACCGGAGCUAAUACCGGAUAAUAUAUUGAACCGCAUGGUUCAAUAGUGAAAGACGGUUUUGCUGUCACUUAUAGAUGGAUCCGCGCCGCAUUAGCUAGUUGGUAAGGUAACGGCUUACCAAGGCAACGAUGCGUAGCCGACCUGAGAGGGUGAUCGGCCACACUGGAACUGAGACACGGUCCAGACUCCUACGGGAGGCAGCAGUAGGGAAUCUUCCGCAAUGGGCGAAAGCCUGACGGAGCAACGCCGCGUGAGUGAUGAAGGUCUUCGGAUCGUAAAACUCUGUUAUUAGGGAAGAACAAAUGUGUAAGUAACUAUACACGUCUUGACGGUACCUAAUCAGAAAGCCACGGCUAACUACGUG